UUGGAGGGCAAGUCUGGUGCCAGCAGCCGCGGUAAUUCCAGCUCCAAUAGCGUAUAUUAAAGUUGUUGCAGUUAAAAAGCUCGUAGUUGAAUUUCGGGAUCAAUUUGUUGGUCGUGCCUCGGUACGUACUGGCAUUAUUGGUUUCUACCUUCUGAAGAACCUUGAUGUCAUUAAUUUGGUGUCUUGGGGAAUCAGGACUGUUACUUUGAAAAAUUAGAGUGUUUAAAGCAGGCAUACGCUUGAAUACAUUAGCAUGGAAUAAUGAAAUAGGACGUUUGAUUCUAUUUUGUUGGUUUCUAGGAUCGACGUAAUGAUUAAUAGGGAUAGUUGGGGGCAUUAGUAUUCAAUUGUCAGAGGUGAAAUUCUUGGAUUUAUUGAAGACUAACUACUGCGAAAGCAUUUGCCAAGGAUGUUUUCAUUAAUCAAGAACGAAAGUUAGGGGAUCGAAGACGAUCAGAUACCGUCGUAGUCUUAACCAUAAACUAUGCCGACUAGGGAUCGGACGAUGUUAAUUUUUAAUGACUCGUUCGGCGCCUUACGGGAAAC
rnacentral:rRNA from 1 species